ACUGGUAAGGGCGUAUGGUGGAUGCCUUGGUAGACAGGACCGAUGAAGGACGUGACGGGCUGCGAUAUGCCUCGGGGAGCUGCCGAGUGGGCUUUGAUCCGAGGAUUUCCGAAUGGGGAGACCCGGCCACUGUUAUGGGUGGUCACCACAGUUUUUGUGGGGGGUACGCAGGGAAGUGAAACAUCUCAGUACCUGCAGGAAAGGAUACUCCGUGAGUAGUGGCGAGCGAAAGCGGAUCAGGCUAAACCGAGUACGUGUGAUAACCGUCAGGUGUUGCGUAUUCGGGGUCGUGGGAUUGACUGUUCAGCCUCUGACGGGGUUGAGGAGAGUGAUAAAACGUCGUGUUAUGUGAAUGGGAUUGAAUUCCCAGCCGUAGAGGGUGAUGGCCCCGUAGCAGGUCGUGCGAUGUCUCUUUAUGUUUAUUCCCAAGUAGCGCGGGCCUCGUGGAAUCCCGCGUGAAUCUGCCCAGACCGUUGGGUAAGCCUAAGUAUUCCUGUCUGACCGAUAGUGUACUAGUACCGUGAGGGAAAGGUGAAAAGCACCCCGGGAGGGGAGUGAAAUAGUUCCUGAAAC
rnacentral:rRNA from 1 species